UGGGGAAUAUUGCACAAUGGGCGAAAGCCUGAUGCAGCAACGCCGCGUGAGUGAUGAAGGUCUUCGGAUUGUAAAGCUCUGUCUUUUGGGACGAUAAUGACGGUACCAAAGGAGGAAGCCACGGCUAACUACGUGCCAGCAGCCGCGGUAAUACGUAGGUGGCGAGCGUUGUCCGGAUUUACUGGGCGUAAAGGGUGCGUAGGCGGAUGUUUAAGUGAGAUGUGAAAUACCCGGGCUUAACUUGGGUGCUGCAUUUCAAACUGGAUAUCUAGAGUGCAGGAGAGGAGAAUGGAAUUCCUAGUGUAGCGGUGAAAUGCGUAGAGAUUAGGAAGAACACCAGUGGCGAAGGCGAUUCUCUGGACUGUAACUGACGCUGAGGCACGAAAGCGUGGGUAGCAAACAGGAUUAGAUACCCUGGUAGUCCACGCCGUAAACGAUGAGUACUAGGUGUAGGAGGUAUCGACCCCCUUCUGUGCCGCAGUAAAC
rnacentral:rRNA from 1 species